rnacentral:rRNA from 1 species
UACGUAGGGGGCAAGCGUUUGUCCGGAUUUAUUGGGCGUAAAGAGCGUGUAGGCGGCCAGACAGGUCCGUUGUGAAAACUCGAGGCUCAACCUCGAGACGCCGAUGGAAACCGUCGGGCUUGAGCACGGUAGAGGCAGGUGGAAUUCCCGGUGUAGCGGUGGAAUGCGUAGAGAUCGGGAAGAACAUCGGUGGCGAAGGCGGCCUGCUGGGCCGUUGC